AGUGAACGCUGGCGGCAGGCCUAACACAUGCAAGUCGAGCGGCAGCGGGUCCUUCGGGAUGCCGGCGAGCGGCGGACGGGUGAGGAAUACAUCGGAAUCUGCCCUGUCGUGGGGGAUAACCUAGGGAAACUUAGGCUAAUACCGCAUACGACCUGCGGGUGAAAGCGGGGGAUCGCAAGACCUCGCGCGACAGGAUGAGCCGAUGUCGAUUAGCUAGUUGGCGGGGUAAAGGCCCACCAAGGCGACGAUCGGUAGCUGGUCUGAGAGGAUGAUCAGCCACACUGGGACUGAGACACGGCCCAGACUCCUACGGGAGGCAGCAGUGGGGAAUAUUGGACAAUGGGCGCAAGCCUGAUCCAGCCAUGCCGCGUGGGUGAGGAAGGCCUUCGGGUUGUAAAGCCCUUUUGUCCGGGAAGAAAUCGUCUGGGCUAAUACCCCGGGCGGAUGACGGUACCGGAAGAAUAAGCACCGGCUAACUUCGUG
rnacentral:rRNA from 1 species